rnacentral:rRNA from 1 species
AUUGAACGCUGGCGGCAGGCCUAACACAUGCAAGUCGAGCGGAUGAGUGGAGCUUGCUCCAUGAUUCAGCGGCGGACGGGUGAGUAAUGCCUAGGAAUCUGCCUGGUAGUGGGGGACAACGUUUCGAAAGGAACGCUAAUACCGCAUACGUCCUACGGGAGAAAGUGGGGGAUCUUCGGACCUCACGCUAUCAGAUGAGCCUAGGUCGGAUUAGCUAGUUGGUGAGGUAAAGGCUCACCAAGGCGACGAUCCGUAACUGGUCUGAGAGGAUGAUCAGUCACACUGGAACUGAGACACGGUCCAGACUCCUACGGGAGGCAGCAGUGGGGAAUAUUGGACAAUGGGCGAAAGCCUGAUCCAGCCAUGCCGCGUGUGUGAAGAAGGUCUUCGGAUUGUAAAGCACUUUAAGUUGGGAGGAAGGGCAGUAAGUUAAUACCUUGCCGUUUUGACGUUACCAACAGAAUAAGCACCGGCUAACUUCGUG